GACGAACGCUGGCGGCGUGCCUAACACAUGCAAGUCGAGCGGGGAUUUAAGUGGAAGUUCUUCGGAAUGGAGAUUUAAAUUCUAGCGGCGGACGGGUGAGUAACGCGUGAACAAUCUGUCCCGGACAGGGGGAUAACACUUGGAAACAGGUGCUAAUACCGCAUAAGACCACGGCCUCGCAUGGGGCUGAGGUAAAAGGAGCAAUCCGGUUCGGGGUGAGUUCGCGUCCGAUUAGCUAGUUGGUGAGGUAACGGCCCACCAAGGCGACGAUCGGUAGCCGGCCUGAGAGGGUGAACGGCCUCAUUGGAACUGAGAGACGGUCCAAACUCCUACGGGAGGCAGCAGUGGGGAAUAUUGGGCAAUGGGCGAAAGCCUGACCCAGCAACGCCGCGUGAGGGAAGAAGGUUUUCGGAUUGUAAACCUCUGUCCUAUGGGACGAAGGAAGUGACGGUACCAUAGGAGGAAGCCCCGGCUAACUACGUG
rnacentral:rRNA from 1 species